AAAUUGAAGAGUUUGAUCAUGGCUCAGAUUGAACGCUGGCGGCAGGCCUAACACAUGCAAGUCGAGCGGUAGCACAGAGAGCUUGCUCUCGGGUGACGAGCGGCGGACGGGUGAGUAAUGUCUGGGAAACUGCCUGAUGGAGGGGGAUAACUACUGGAAACGGUAGCUAAUACCGCAUAACGUCGCAAGACCAAAGUGGGGGACCUUCGGGCCUCAUGCCAUCAGAUGUGCCCAGAUGGGAUUAGCUAGUAGGUGGGGUAACGGCUCACCUAGGCGACGAUCCCUAGCUGGUCUGAGAGGAUGACCAGCCACACUGGAACUGAGACACGGUCCAGACUCCUACGGGAGGCAGCAGUGGGGAAUAUUGCACAAUGGGCGCAAGCCUGAUGCAGCCAUGCCGCGUGUGUGAAGAAGGCCUUCGGGUUGUAAAGCACUUUCAGCGGGGAGGAAGGCGUUAAGGUUAAUAACCUUGGCGAUUGACGUUACCCGCAGAAGAAGCACCGGCUAACUCCGUGCCAGCAGCCGCGGUAAUACGGAGGGUGCAAGCGUUAAUCGGAAUUACUGGGCGUAAAGCGCACGCAGGCGGUCUGUCAAGUCGGAUGUGAAAUCCCCGGGCUCAACCUGGGAACUGCAUUCGAAACUGGCAGGCUAGAGUCUUGUAGAGGGGGUAGAGAAUUCCAGGUGUAGCGGUGAAAUGCGUAGAGAUCUGGAGGAAUACCGGUGGCGAAGGCGGCCCCCUGGACAAAGACUGACGCUCAGGUGCGAAAGCGUGGGGAGCAAACAGGAUUAGAUACCCUGGUAGUCCACGCCGUAAACGAUGUCGAUUUGGAGGUUGUGCCCUUGAGGCGUGGCUUCCGGAGCUAACGCGUUAAAUCGACCGCCUGGGGAGUACGGCCGCAAGGUUAAAACUCAAAUGAAUUGACGGGGGCCCGCACAAGCGGUGGAGCAUGUGGUUUAAUUCGAUGCAACGCGAAGAACCUUACCUGGUCUUGACAUCCACAGAACUUUCCAGAGAUGGAUUGGUGCCUUCGGGAACUGUGAGACAGGUGCUGCAUGGCUGUCGUCAGCUCGUGUUGUGAAAUGUUGGGUUAAGUCCCGCAACGAGCGCAACCCUUAUCCUUUGUUGCCAGCGGUUCGGCCGGGAACUCAAAGGAGACUGCCAGUGAUAAACUGGAGGAAGGUGGGGAUGACGUCAAGUCAUCAUGGCCCUUACGACCAGGGCUACACACGUGCUACAAUGGCAUAUACAAAGAGAAGCGACCUCGCGAGAGCAAGCGGACCUCAUAAAGUAUGUCGUAGUCCGGAUUGGAGUCUGCAACUCGACUCCAUGAAGUCGGAAUCGCUAGUAAUCGUAGAUCAGAAUGCUACGGUGAAUACGUUCCCGGGCCUUGUACACACCGCCCGUCACACCAUGGGAGUGGGUUGCAAAAGAAGUAGGUAGCUUAACCUUCGGGAGGGCGCUUACCACUUUGUGAUUCAUGACUGGGGUGAAGUCGUAACAAGGUAACCGUAGGGGAACCUGCGGUUGGAUCACCUCCUUA
rnacentral:rRNA from 1 species